UUCGCCUUUUACUAAAGAAUACCGUGUGAGCGCUGCAUUUAGUGGCAUACGCCUAUUUUUGGAGGGGUUCUCUUCUUUAGAGGACC
rnacentral:snRNA from 1 species